CCUAUUAUACUAGACGUUAAUAUAUUACCUGGGUAGUAAUAGUUAAGUUCUUGAAACCCAAAGAAUUUGGCGGUAUUUUAGUCUUUUCAGAGGAACCUGUUGUGUAAUCGAUAAUCCACGUUUUUAUUUACUUAUGCUUGUACUCAGUUUUUAUACCUCCGUCAUAAGAAUAUUUUUUUAGAAUUAAUUUUCUUAAUUGUUAAAUACAUAUAUGUCAGGUCAAGGUGAAGCUUAUGCAUAAGUACUAAUGGGCUACAAUAAAUUUAUUUAUACGGAUUUUUUAAUUUAUAUUAAAAUUAAAGGUGGAUUUGUAAGUAAAGUUAAUUAAUUAAUUUUCUUGAUUUUAGCUCUAAAAUAUGCACACAUCGC
rnacentral:rRNA from 1 species